rnacentral:lncRNA from 1 species
AUUCAUAUUCUUUAUAGAAACUCAACCACAUGGAAUCCGACUUGGACCAGUAGAGCUGCUAUUGAAGCAGAGGAUGCAGCCUCUGUGUCAUGCUCAGGCCAUGGAAGAGCUUACGUGGACGGUAUUGGAGUCCUUGGCGGCAAGCAACCUUCUUGUGAAUGCAACAAUUGCUAUACAGGCAAAGAUUGUUCUAUUCUUCUCUCAGAUUGUCCUGUCAACGCUAACUCGUAUGCAAAAAACCCUAUCAUUGGAUCCAUUGUUUCGACAGUAUGACCAAACUAAUCUAUUUUUCUUUUUUAUUAACUUUGUGUAUUUCUUGUUUGUUUUUCGGGUUUUGAAGAGGAGACCCUUUGUUCUUAGAGCCUUUCUGGAUGCGACAAGCAGAGAGCAGCGCGGCUCUGGUCUCGGGAUGGCACAGGAUGAGUUAUAUCUAUCAAGAUGGGACAUAUAUGUCGGAAGCGCUGAGACGGUCAUCAGGAAACUGCAUAGUGUGGUGGGAAACGCUGUUACAGAUAACAGGUUUGUAAUAUUUGGAAGUGGAAGCACACAAUUGCUUGCAGCAGCUGUUCAUGCCUUGUCUUUGACAAACUCAUCAUCAUCAGGACCCGCAAGGCUUUUGGCUUCAGUUCCAUAUUACGCUGUAAGCAAGCUCUGUUAUGGCUUUAUGUAAACAAACAUAUUGGUUGUUUUGACCAGUCUGUGUGUGUAGAUGUACAAGGAGCAAGCGGAGUUCUUUGACUCAGUACAUCUCAAGUUUGAAGGAGAUGCGUUUGCGUGGAAGAAUAGCGAGCGCAAUGAUAAUACCACACAAGUUAUAGAGGUAGUGACAUCUCCGAAUAAUCCAGAUGGGAAGCUGAAAAGAGCGGUUCUUGAUGGUCCUAAUGUCAAAACAAUUCAUGAUUACGCCUAUUACUGGCCUUAUUUCUCCCCUAUAACUGUUCCAGCUGAUGAAGAUUUGAGCUUGUUUAGUCUCUCCAAGACUACAGGUCAUGCUGGCUCUAGAUUCGGGUAAACAAAAAUAAAUAAAAAAUGUAUCAAAAGAUUUGGAUUGGUCCCAACAGCUCACAUGUGUUUUUGUUUUUGCAGGUGGGGUUUGGUAAAAGACAAAACUGUUUAUGAAAAUAUGAAAAGAUAUAUCACUUUGAGUAGCAUGGGAGUUUCUAGGACAACACAGCUUCAUGUUCUUCAACUGCUCAACGUAGUAGUUAGGGAUGGAGGCGAUAAUAUAUUCCAUUUUGGUCAUGAAACUUUGAAGAAAAGAUGGGAGACACUGAACAAGGUCUUGUCACUCUCUACACGUUUCUCGCUCCAGAAAAUCAAACCUGAGUACUGCAACUAAAAAUAAAGAAUUACGAAACAUAUACAAUACAAUUCUAAUUAAUGAUAAUAUAAAAUCUGUUACUUCUAAAACUAUACACUAUUUAUUUCAUUUUUUGAAUGAAAAUAUCUUCGUAAACACACAAAAUAUUUUGUGACGUUGCAAUUAUACAUACACACAAUAUCUGCCUCUUCAUACUGACGUUACUAUGUUCCCUCUCGUGAGGUACGGACCGAGAGAGAAUACAGGAUGCGGACCGGUCAUGUUUAUGUCUGCACAGGGUGCGGGACCGGUCACCUAGUAAAUAUUAUUUCAAAAAGUAACAAUCUUUAGAUUAUUUUAGAAUUAAAAAGUCAAAAUGAUUCGACCAGAAUUUCUCUCUAUAAUAGAAUUUAUUACAGAAUAUAUAAAUAGGUUGGAAAUGCUAUAAAAUAACAAGCUAAGCGGUCAUUCUUAUUAGAGACUCAUAGUAUUAAACAAUUGUUUUGGUUCUUGGUACUGAUAUUUGAUACUUAUCAGUAAUCUGGAAUCUAGUCGUUUUUUAUUAAGUAAGUUUAUGGAGAAGAAGCUGCUUCUUAUUACAGUGUCGAUCAUCACGAAUCUUGUAUUUACUAUUCAUAUUCUUUAUAGAAACUCAACCACAUGGAAUCCGACUUGGACCAGUAGAGCUGCUAUUGAAGCAGAGGAUGCAGCCUCUGUGUCAUGCUCAGGCCAUGGAAGAGCUUACGUGGACGGUAUUGGAGUCCUUGGCGGCAAGCAACCUUCUUGUGAAUGCAACAAUUGCUAUACAGGCAAAGAUUGUUCUAUUCUUCUCUCAGAUUGUCCUGUCAACGCUAACUCGUAUGCAAAAAACCCUAUCAUUGGAUCCAUUGUUUCGACAGUAUGACCAAACUAAUCUAUUUUUCUUUUUUAUUAACUUUGUGUAUUUCUUGUUUGUUUUUCGGGUUUUGAAGAGGAGACCCUUUGUUCUUAGAGCCUU